rnacentral:rRNA from 1 species
AGUGAACGCUGGCGGUAGGCCUAACACAUGCAAGUCGAACGGCAGCACAGUAAGAGCUUGCUCUUACGGGUGGCGAGUGGCGGACGGGUGAGGAAUACAUCGUAAUCUACUUUUUCGUGGGGGAUAACGUAGGGAAACUUACGCUAAUACCGCAUACGACCUACGGGUGAAAGCAGGGGAUCUUCGGACCUUGCGCGAUUGAAUGAGCCGAUGUCGGAUUAGCUAGUUGGCGGGGUAGAGGCCCACCAAGGCGACGAUCCGUAGCUGGUCUGAGAGGAUGAUCAGCCACACUGGAACUGAGACACGGUCCAGACUCCUAAGGGAGGGAGCAGUCGGGAAUAUUGGACAAUGGGCGCAAGCCUGAUACAGCCAUACCGAGUGGGUGAAGAAGGCCUUCGGGUUGUAAAGCCCUUUUGUUGGGAAAGAAAAGCAGCAGGUUAAUACCCCGCUGUUCUGACGGUACCCAAAGAAUAAGCACCGGCUAACUUCGUG